UGGGGAANAUUGCGCAAUGGGCGAAAGCCUGACGCAGCGACGCCGCGUGAGGGAUGAAGGUCUUCGGAUCGUAAACCUCUGUCAGCAGGGAAGAACGGUCACUGUGCUAAUCAGCAGUGAAUUGACGGUACCUGCAAAGGAAGCACCGGCUAACUCCGUGCC
rnacentral:rRNA from 1 species